rnacentral:rRNA from 1 species
GACAGAGGGGGCAAGCGUUGCUCGGAAUUACUGGGCGUAAAGGGCGCGUAGGCGGAAUGGCAAGUCGGUCGUGAAAUCCUUCGGCUCAAUCGAAGAACGUCGAUCGAAACUGCCGUUCUUGAGGAUUGCAGAGGAGACUGGAAUUCCCGGUGUAGCGGUGAAAUGUGUAGAGAUCGGGAGGAACACCGGUGGCGAAGGCGGGUCUCUGGGCAAUUCCUGACGCUGAGGCGCGAAAGCGUGGGGAGCAAACGGG